CAAGGACACGAUGUGUACCAUCAGCUCCUUCUUCCCAGAGGUCCCUGAGCUUGGACAGGCUGCAGCAAGGGGCACUGCACAAAGCCAGCCAUGAGGACAUCAGGGACGCCACAAAAUCCACAGGCUCUCAGGAUGGCCUUUUGAUAAACGUCAGCAAAACUAGCAAUAGCCAGGACUCACUGAACAACGCCCCCAAGAAUAAGGGCAUCACAUCUUCCAUCUGUUGGUUGCUCGCCAGAAAACAAAAGGUCCACCCCAGCCACACUAGCGACGAGCCUGCAUGACCAGCCAAAGAAGAUGCAGCUGGUCGUCGGUCCGUGACAUGCUGACCUGCCCCAGCCCCUCGGCGACGGCGCCACGGGAGGCUCUUUGACUGGAAUGUGAACAAUGGUGGAGAAUGGCCGACUUCGUAUGUAACAAGGCUGUGGCCCGCUCAGGCUUCAAUGAUCUAAGAUGACUCCUAACUUCUGUUUAUCUGCUUGAACAUUAGUGUGCUCUUCCACCUACCACAGCUAGGCAUCGUGGGUGUCCUCAGUGCGUGGGCUCUAUCAGAGCCUAGUCCUGGGGGCCUGGGCAGCUUGCCUGGAGUGACCCGAGGAACCUGGGAGCUGGGGCCGCGGCAAGCCUGGGCGGGGGGGACCUGGGCACAUCCUCCCCCCAUCCCUGCCCCACGCCCACCCUGAGCUCCCUGGCACCCGAACUCACAGAAGACCAAUCAAGAAGCACUGGGCUCCCACCGUGGGGCAGG